GACGAACGCUGGCGGCGUGCUUAACACAUGCAAGUCGAACGGAAAGGCCCUGCUUUUGUGGGGUGCUCGAGUGGCGAACGGGUGAGUAACACGUGAGUAACCUGCCCUUGACUUUGGGAUAACUUCAGGAAACUGGGGCUAAUACCGGAUAGGAGCUCCUGCUGCAUGGUGGGGGUUGGAAAGUUUCGGCGGUUGGGGAUGGACUCGCGGCUUAUCAGCUUGUUGGUGGGGUAGUGGCUUACCAAGGCUUUGACGGGUAGCCGGCCUGAGAGGGUGACCGGCCACAUUGGGACUGAGAUACGGCCCAGACUCCUACGGGAGGCAGCAGUGGGGAAUAUUGCACAAUGGGCGGAAGCCUGAUGCAGCAACGCCGCGUGCGGGAUGACGGCCUUCGGGUUGUAAACCGCUUUCGCCUGUGACGAAGCGUGAGUGACGGUAAUGGGUAAAGAAGCACCGGCUAACUACGUGCCAGCAGCCGCGGUGAUACGUAGGGUGCGAGCGUUGUCCGGAUUUAUUGGGCGUAAAGGGCUCGUAGGUGGUUGAUCGCGUCGGAAGUGUAAUCUUGGGGCUUAACCCUGAGCGUGCUUUCAAUACGGGUUGACUUGAGGAAAGGUAGGGGAGAAUGGAAUUCCUGGUGGAGCGGUGGAAUGCGCAGAUAUCAGGAGGGAACACCAGUGGCGAAGGCGGUUCUCUGGGCCUUUCCUGACGCUGAGGAGCGAAAGCGUGGGGAGCGAACAGGCUUAGAUACCCUGGUAGUCCACGCUGUAAACGGUGGGUACUAGGUGUGGGGUCCAUUCCACGGGUUCCGUGCCGUAGCUAACGCUUUAAGUACCCCGCCUGGGGAGUACGGCCGCAAGGCUAAAACUCAAAGGAAUUGACGGGGCCCCGCACAAGCGGCGGAGCAUGCGGAUUAAUUCGAUGCAACGCGUAGAACCUUACCUGGGUUUGACAUGGAUCGGGAGUGCUCAGAGAUGGGUGUGCCUCUUUUGGGGUCGGUUCACAGGUGGUGCAUGGCUGUCGUCAGCUCGUGUCGUGAGAUGUUGGGUUAAGUCCCGCAACGAGCGCAACCCUUGUUCACUGUUGCCAGCACGUUAUGGUGGGGACUCAGUGGAGACCGCCGGGGUCAACUCGGAGGAAGGUGGGGAUGACGUCAAGUCAUCAUGCCCCUUAUGUCCAGGGCUUCACGCAUGCUACAAUGGCUGGUACAGAGAGUGGCGAGCCUGUGAGGGUGAGCGAAUCUCGGAAAGCCGGUCUCAGUUCGGAUUGGGGUCUGCAACUCGACCUCAUGAAGUCGGAGUCGCUAGUAAUCGCAGAUCAGCAACGCUGCGGUGAAUACGUUCCCGGG
rnacentral:rRNA from 1 species